GGUAAUUGUAAUACCCUGGAAUUAAGGAAAUGGAUUAGCAAAGCCCUAACUAGUUAAUUGAGUAUUAUUGUAGAAUUAUAUUAUAUUAUAAUUUAUUAUAUGCGAAUUAAUAUGAGAAAUGACAUGUUAAGACCCCGUUGGUGAGUUAGGGGCAUUUUAGUAAUUUUGACCCGAGAAGGGUAAAACUGUGAAUUUAAUUUAUUUAUGUGCUUAUGAACUAUAUUAUUAUAUAGUAUAUCUGGUGUGUCCUUUUUCAGGUGUGUUCUGACAAGUUGGCGCGGUAUAGUCACAAUCGGGUAUUUCGGGCUGAACCGGGUUCGGGGCCGAAAUAUAAUUUUGGGAUAAAUUAUUGGCAUUUUAUUUAUGUGUGAAUAAUCUGAAAUUAUUUAAAUAUGUGUUAUAUAUGAAAUGAAUUCAAUGCCCUUGAUUGUUUGAGUAUGUGAGAAAUGGCCCUAGGGGCAAAAUGGUAAAUUUGUAUUUUUGGAUUUAUUUUCAACUAAAGGCCUUAUUUGUAAAAAAAUGAAAUUCAUUUUCUGCAUUUACCUUAACCCUAAAACAGCCCCCUUUCCUCUCUCUCUCUAUCUCUCUUUGUAUUUGGUUGAAAAAUUGGUGAUUUGCUUGGUAUUCAAGCUUGAAAUUGAAGAAUUGUUUGAGGAGUUGUGGCUUGAUCAUUGCAUUGAAGCUUGAGGAUUACCGGCACUUGGUCAGGAGCACCCGGAGAUUUGGAAUCUCCAUAUUUGUGGGACAUCAGGAAAGGGUAAAUCUAUCUCUGAUCAGCCAUGAGUAUGGGAGUUGGGCGAUGUAUGUACAUGUUCGGGCCACACUAGACCAAGCGGGUUGGGGUCUACCAGCGUUGAAACUUUUGUAACUCUAUUCUUGCCGCUUAGGUCGGCUAAGGAGAAAAGACUUGUAAUAUUUUGUAAAAUGAUUUUUUUUGGGAUCCCGUAACAUGUAACUUUUGUUUGUAAGGUUAAAAUUAUUACAAGUUUAUUUUCAUUCCGUUUUCGUUUAAAG